rnacentral:rRNA from 1 species
GUGAGGAAUAUUGGUCAAUGGGCGGAAGCCUGAACCAGCCAAGUCGCGUGAGGGAAGACGGUCCUACGGAUUGUAAACCUCUUUUGUCGGGGAGCAAAGAGGCCACGCGUGGCAAGAUGAGCGUACCCGAAGAAAAAGCAUCGGCUAACUCCGUGCCAGCAGCCGCGGUAAUACGGAGGAUGCGAGCGUUAUCCGGAUUUAUUGGGUUUAAAGGGUGCGCAGGCGGUUCAUCAAGUCAGCGGUAAAAAUUCGGGGCUCAACCCCGUCCUGCCGUUGAAACUGACGAGCUGGAGUGCGACAGAGGAAUGCGGAAUGCGAGGUGUAGCGGUGAAAUGCAUAGAUAUCGCGCAGAACUCCGAUUGCGAAGGCAGCGUUCCAUGUCGUAACUGACGCUCAGGCACGAAAGCGUGGGGAUCGAACAGGAUUAGAAACCCUAGUAGUCC